GGAUGAGAGAAGGCGCGGGAAAUGCUUUGUGGAGAGUCAUGUUUGUUGAUAGGGGCGAUCGGUGAGUGCGUCCUGUUUGCCGGGCAUCCUCGUUUUUCUGCCGCGCGGGGGGUGCACCGCUUCUAAACCCAGGGAACCGUGGACUAAAACGCCCGAACGUCAUGUCGCCGUUGCUGCUGCUGCCCGUUGGAUGUUCCUGAUGGCGACGCCGCGGUAUUGAUUUGGCGGUGAACCUUGGCGACCAUGUAUCCCAACCGACACCCGGGAGACGGGAUGCCCCCUUUCAACGCUUACGGAGCACCUCCACUGGUCACCAUGAUGUCCAAAGAGGGUCCUCCGCCAGCCGCCGGUCAGCCUUUCAAGUUUACAGUCGCAGAAACAUGUGACAGAAUUAAAGAGGAGUUCUCUUUCCUGCAGGCUCAGUAUCAUAG